AUUGAACGCUGGCGGCAGGCCUAACACAUGCAAGUCGAGCGGAUGAAGGGAGCUUGCUCCUGGAUUCAGCGGCGGACGGGUGAGUAAUGCCUAGGAAUCUGCCUGGUAGUGGGGGAUAACGUCCGGAAACGGGCGCUAAUACCGCAUACGUCCUGAGGGAGAAAGUGGGGGAUCUUCGGACCUCACGCUAUCAGAUGAGCCUAGGUCGGAUUAGCUAGUUGGUGGGGUAAAGGCCUACCAAGGACGAUCCGUAACUGGUCUGAGAGGAUGAUCAGUCACACUGGAACUGAGACACGGUCCAGACUCCUACGGGAGGCAGCAGUGGGGAAUAUUGGACAAUGGGCGAAAGCCUGAUCCAGCCAUGCCGCGUGUGUGAAGAAGGUCUUCGGAUUGUAAAGCACUUUAAGUUGGGAGGAAGGGCAGUAAGUUAAUACCUUGCUGUUUUGACGUUACCAACAGAAUAAGCACCGGCUAACUUCGUG
rnacentral:rRNA from 1 species